rnacentral:rRNA from 1 species
AGAGUUUGAUUAUGGCUCAGGACGAACGCUGGCGGCGUGCUUAACACAUGCAAGUCGAGCGGUAAGGCCCUUUCGGGGGUACACGAGCGGCGAACGGGUGAGUAACACGUGGGUGACCUGCCCUUAGCUCUGGGAUAAGCCUGGGAAACUGGGUCUAAUACCGGAUAUGACUUCACGGUGCAUGCCGUGGGGUGGAAAGCCUUGUGCGGCUAGGGAUGGGCCCGCGGCCUAUCAGCUUGUUGGUGGGGUGAUGGCCUACCAAGGCGACGACGGGUAGCCGGCCUGAGAGGGCGACCGGCCACACUGGGACUGAGACACGGCCCAGACUCCUACGGGAGGCAGCAGUGGGGAAUCUUGCGCAAUGGGCGAAAGCCUGACGCAGCGACGCCGCGUGAGGGAUGACGGCCUUCGGGUUGUAAACCUCUUUCAGCUCCGACGAAGCGAGAGUGACGGUAGGAGCAGAAGAAGCACCGGCCAACUACGUGCCAGCAGCCGCGGUAAUACGUAGGGUGCAGGCGUUGUCCGGAAUUAUUGGGCGUAAAGAGCUCGUAGGCGGUCUGUCGCGUCGGCUGUGAAAACUCGGGGCUCAACUCCGAGCUUGCAGUCGAUACGGGCAGACUAGAGUUCGGCAGGGGAGACUGGAAUUCCUGGUGUAGCGGUGAAAUGCGCAGAUAUCAGGAGGAACACCGGUGGCGAAGGCGGGUCUCUGGGCCGAUACUGACGCUGAGGAGCGAAAGCGUGGGGAGCGAACAGGAUUAGAUACCCUGGUAGUCCACGCCGUAAACGUUGGGCGCUAGGUGUGGGAUCCCUUCCACGGGUUCCGUGCCGCAGCUAACGCAUUAAGCGCCCCGCCUGGGGAGUACGGCCGCAAGGCUAAAACUCAAAUGAAUUGACGGGGA